CCUACGAGUGGCAGCAGUGAGGAAUAUUGGUCAAUGGGCGCGAGCCUGAACCAGCCAAGUAGCGUGACGGAUGACUGCCCUACGGGUUGUAAACUUCUUUUAUAAAGGAAUAAAGUGAGGCACGUGUGCCUUUUUGUAUGUACUUUAUGAAUAAGGAUCGGCUAACGCCGUGCCAGCAGCCGCGGUAAUACGGAGGAUCCGAGCGUUAUCCGGAUUUAUUGGGUUUAAAGGGAGCGUAGAUGGGUUGUUAAGUCAGUUGUGAAAGUUUGCGGCUCAACCGUAAAAUUGCAAGUGAUACUGGCAGUCUUGAGUACAGUUGAGGGAGGCGGAAUUCGUGGUGUAGCGGUGAAAUGCUUAGAUAUCACGAAGAACUCCGAUUGCGAAGGCAGCUUACUAAACUGCCACUGACAUUGAUGCUCGAAAGUGUGGGUAUCAAACAGGAUUAGAUACCCGAGUAGUC
rnacentral:rRNA from 1 species